CUCAUUUCACAGAGCCUAUACAAAAACUUUCACUAUUUUUGGAUCUGUACACAAUUUUCUACACAAAUUUAAACAUUAAUCACUUUUAAUUCUAAAAAAAAAAGAAAAACAGCACUGUUGCUGUGGUCGGCCUGCUCACGCUCGGCCCAGGCCGGCCGACGCGCUCGACCCACCCGCUGUGCGCGCUCUCCCCCUCCUC
rnacentral:lncRNA from 1 species